UCCAACCUUUUUCAUUACAGCUUUUUGUACUAGAUAGACUCUGAUAAUUAUAAAUUUAAAGCAAGCAACGAACUGUAACUUCAACUUACUAACUGACGACUAAAGAAAAGCAGAGACCAAAAACACAAAUCUUAAAUGCAAGUAAGAAAAGAAGUAGGACUUGGUGGUACUGGGAUGUCAACUGUCCCUUCCAACAUCAAAAGAACCUUCUUCAUGGAAGGGCGGAUGGACGGUUCAUCCAGAGUGCACCAAAGCCCCACUUUGAUCAUUC
rnacentral:misc_RNA from 1 species